UGUUCCUGAGUUGUAUCCUUUAUAAUGAACUAGUUAUGAAGUCCAUUUUCUAAGGUCUGUACUAUUAUAAACAUCAUUCUAUAUUUGCAGAAAUGGAGCACAGAAAUAUGAAGUGAUCUUUCCAAACUUAUGAGUGUUGUCAACCAGAUUGGCCCUAUGAUGAAACACAGAUGGAUCAAGUGAUGUGUGGGACCCCACACAUGGCUCAAGCCCAGGAACUCUUAGCACACGCAAAAGAUGUCUGAUCAGACUGUCA